rnacentral:rRNA from 1 species
CGCAAGCCUGACGGAGCAACGCCGCGUGUGGGAAGAAGGCUCUUGGGCUGUCAACCACUUUUCUCAGGGAAGAAGCCCUGACGGUACCUGAGGAAUCAGCCUCGGCUAACUCCGUGCCAGCAGCCGCGGUAAUACGGAGGAGGCAAGCGUUAUCCGGAAUUAUUGGGCGUAAAGCGUCCGCUGGGGGCACAUCAAGUCUGCUGUUAAAGGCUGGAGCUUAACUCCGGUAGAGCAGUGGAAACUGGUGUGCUAGAGGGCGACAGGGGUAGAGGGAAUUCCCAGUGUAGCGGUGAAAUGCGUAGAGAUUGGGAAGAACACCGGUGGCGAAAGCGCUCUACUGGGUCGCACCUGACCCUCAGGGACGAAAGCUAAGGUAGCG